AGAGAAAAUCGUGCAGGGCGGAUAAUAAACUGAUUUAUCACUAAACGAAGUCAAAGAAUGCAGCCAAACCAAGUCUGAUGGAUUUAUUAAUUGUGUUACCGAAACUGCUUCUCUGGCCUAUAGACAUAGGAUUAGUUUUAUUUCAUCAUAAAUUAUCGAUUUCCUGAAAACAAACAGUUUAUAGGACAGUGUCUCAUAUGCAGAUGUACAAACAAGCGGUCUUCAUAAAAUGCUUGGAGCUUCCAUGAUCUGCAGAAUGAAUGUUUUCAGCUUGGCAUGGGACAACUGACACAAGGAUAUUCCUCUUAUUUGUCAGUUCAAGGCCUUAAUGAGAAGAAUAACCAGUCACGUGGAGGGUUAUUUUUUUGUUAAAAUAUUGGCUUAUGUAUAAUAAAUACAUUACAUCUGCUGUUCUAUCUAUAGAAUAUAAAUACAUUACAAUAAAUACAUUACAUCUGC